AAAAACUCCAUUUUUUCAGUUUUUGGAUACAACGUUUGACUCUUCAUCUUAUUUAAAAAUUUUAUAUGAUUAGUAUUUUCAUUGUUACUAGAUGAUUAAACAUGAAUAGUAUUUUAUGUGUAAUCUCAUAACUUUUUAAAAUAAGAUGGACGGUCAAACGUUAUACCCAUAAAUCUAAAAAUGAAAUCUUU
rfam:Oryza rufipogon genomic scaffold, chr09